rnacentral:rRNA from 1 species
AUUGAACGCUGGCGGCAUGCCUUACACAUGCAAGUCGAACGGUAACAGGUCUUCGGAUGCUGACGAGUGGCGAACGGGUGAGUAAUACAUCGGAACGUGCCCGAGAGUGGGGGAUAACGAGGCGAAAGCUUUGCUAAUACCGCAUACGAUCUCAGGAUGAAAGCAGGGGACCGCAAGGCCUUGCGCUCACGGAGCGGCCGAUGGCAGAUUAGGUAGUUGGUGGGAUAAAAGCUUACCAAGCCGACGAUCUGUAGCUGGUCUGAGAGGACGACCAGCCACACUGGGACUGAGACACGGCCCAGACUCCUACGGGAGGCAGCAGUGGGUAAUUUUGACCAAUGGGCGCAAGCCUGCUCCAGCCAUGCCGCGUGCAGGAUGAAGGCCUUCGGGUUGUAAACUGCUUUUGUACGGAACGAAAAGACUCUGGUUAAUACCUGGGGUCCAGGACGGUACCGUAAGAAUAAGCACCGGCUAACUACGUGCCAGCAGCCGCCGUAACAC